CGAGUCGGCUGGGUGAUCGCGGCGGCACUUGUGUGCUGCUGAGGAAAGUCCGGACUCCUAAGAGCACGGUGGUGGGUAACACCCACCUGGGGCGACCCACGGGACAGUGCCACAGAGAACAGACCGCCUCCACCGCUUCGCGGCGGGCGGGGGUCAGGGUGAAACGGUGGUGUAAGAGACCACCAGCGUCCUGGGUGACCAGGACGGCUCGGUAAACCCCACUGGGAGCAAGGCCAAGAAGACCUUCGGGUCGCGUCGGCGAUGAGGGCUGCUCGCCUAGUCGACGGGUAGGCCGCACGCCCCGACAGGUUCACCUGUUGAGGCGAAGGCCCGUGGCGACACGGGUCGCAGAUGGAUGAUCACCCAUCGGCGUUCGCGCCGGUGACAGAAUCCGGCUUAUAGGCCGACUCGUCCA
rnacentral:RNase_P_RNA from 1 species